AAGACAUGACGACACAGACAGAAGGUUGUUCCAAUUUUAUGUCAUCUUACCUGAGCACUCGAAUGCACGACUAUUUUCAUAAUAACAUGAGCGGAGUGGAAUAAAGAACAUGAUCAGCAUGAUUGAUAUUCAAAACGACCCUGCAACAAAUCAUCGACAUGGAAAACCCUUCUCUGCACGCCAACGAGGGAAAUUCACAUUUAAAGUCAACGCAAGCAAGUCCAGGACGGCAGCCACCCCACCUCGUCCCAGGAGCACGGCAUCCG